CAGUAGCCGCGGUAAUACGUAGGGUGCGAGCGUUAAUCGGAAUUACUGGGCGUAAAGCGUGCGUAGGUGGUGGUUUAAGUCCGUUGUGAAAGCCCUGGGCUCAACCUGGGAAUUGCAGUGGAUACUGGGUCACUAGAGUGUGGUAGAGGAUAGUGGAAUUUCCGGUGUAGCAGUGAAAUGCGUAGAGAUCGGAAGGAACAUCUGUGGCGAAGGCGACUAUCUGGGCCAACACUGACACUGAGGCACGAAAGCGUGGGGAGCAAACAGGAUUAGAUACCCGCGUAGUCCCUGUCUCUUAUAC
rnacentral:rRNA from 1 species